UACGUAGGGUGCGAGCGUUGUCCGGAAUUACUGGGCGUAAAGAGCUCGUAGGCGGUUUGUCGCGUCUGCCGUGAAAGUCCGGGGCUCAACUCCGGAUCUGCGGUGGGUACGGGCAGACUAGAGUGAUGUAGGGGAGACUGGAAUUCCUGGUGUAGCGGUGGAAUGCGCAGAUAUCAGGAGGAACACCGGUGGCGAAGGCGGAUCUCUGGGCCUUACCUGACGCUCAGGUGCGAAAGCUAGGGGAGCGAACAGG
rnacentral:rRNA from 1 species